CCUGGGCACGCUCUAGUCUUACAGGGUGCUCCCUUCUCGUAGUCGUCGGAUCGUGAUCGAGUGGCUCAGACGAAGCAACGCAAGCGAGGAAAAAAAGACGACUACCUCUUCCCCGUUCCCCUGUUGAAAGUCAACUUCGUCCUCAACCCUUCUUCUCUUCAUCCGCGCCCACUUCUUCUCAACCCCUCGUCAAUCCCCCACUAGAUCGACCUCAACGGCGGCGAGCGGACCGCCGUGAAGCUGUGGGGCGUUCCUCCUGGUAGGUGGGAGCCCUGUAACAACCUCGCCGUCGCGGACGUGUGGAUCGACGCGUCCGACGCGGGCCAUGUAAUUCGACGCAUUCGAGUUGGGCUGGAUGAGCUUGAACGCAUCGGCGAGAGGGCAUCGGCGGCGUCUUGUUGCGUCCAGACCGCGGCGUACUUCUGUUCCUUUUUUGGAGAUCGUUUACUCGCAGCAGUUCGUGGCUCUACAUCGUUGCCAUUCAGUAUGGAUGAGCUAGUGGUGGUCAAUACUAUAGGAUGUAUAUUUACGAGCGCAGAUACGGUGGUGGACUGGUGGUCAUGAAGGUUCAGUUCUUAAUGGGUCACCUUCUCGAGGAUCAACAAGAGGAAAUCAACAGAGGACUUAUCUGGCGUGCCAUACAACAUGAUGUUGCUCAACUGCCUCCUAUCGGCAUGUUAACUAGCCAGCUACCGAUACUUGAGCUUCACGAUCUUGCACUCUACUAGCACUAGAACUACUUGCAGAAACACAGGCUUUGCUUGACUGGUUCUUCGUCCAUGCCAUUCAUGUUUGUUCUUAACUACCACGUUGAGUCUUGUUUGAUACUAGUUUGCUGAGGGGCAGUUUGGUCAUAGUCUCAUAGAUGUGUUAAUCCCUUGAAAUUUAACUUGGCUGUAAUAGUUCUCUGAUAAUGUAUUAUUCAUGUUAAGUUAGUACUAAUUUUCAGAAAUCGAGCAAGUUAAACGUCUUGCUCUCUUAAUGAUAUAUUUAGUGCACCUGAUGAACCAAGUAGGUCCACUGUUUCAGACUAAUAUAUUUGAAGCAAUCUGCUGCUUGCAACUAUAGUAGUUUUCGUCAAAGGGUUGUAUUGUAGCCAGUGUAGUCCUAUUUCAUCCAGUUUUAACUUGGUCAUUUAUGUUCUUAAUAACAUUUGCAUUCUUGUAAGUCUUUAGAAAUAUGCUUAUCUCGUUUCCUUGCCCAGUUAAUCUUCUUUAUAUAUUUGAGCUAGCUUCGUAUGCCUUACACUAUACUUUCCAUGCCUUGCUCCUUUUUAUGUACUGCCAUGAGUUUUCUGGCAUAGAAGAGCUUUCUGGCCUAGCACUUGCUGGUCUUUGCAUUAUGUGUUCUCUAGUGAUGCUCCCCAUCUUGUUUCGUGUCUAAAAUAAAUCUACUGUGUACUACUUUUGAGAUAAUUUUAUAGAGCUAUUGCCAGAUAGUAUUUUCAGUAUUGUAGCAAGUGGCACUAAACAACGGAUCGUGGAGCUUUAAAAUACGAAUGUUAUUACACAGCUAUAACACUUUUUUGUGUGUUUUGGGCAUGGUUCAGGUGCUUUUGAUCAAUUCCUUAUUAUAACCUAUGAGUCUUAUCUCUCAACCUACAACUGACUGCAAGUGUCCUGUAGGUGUGUUGGACAUAUUAAAAUAUAGGAAGCUAAUAGAGGAGGAAAGAAGCGAUUUGAUUACCAAGCAGCAUGGUCCUUUGGGUUGUGUUUCUUCAAUGCAAGAUCGACACAAGGAUGUAACAGCAGUGAUAUUUUACAUCGUCUACCAGGGGCGGAGCGGCGAGAGGUCUAGAGAAGCGUUGCUUUUGUAAAUCACCUAGAACAAAAUUUUCAUCUAUGGGAGUAAAAAGCAGGCGAGGUACCUGUGAUUUUUUUGGCUUUUGCCAACCCAUGUA